GUUAAUAACCUGUCCCAUGAGAUCUGUUAGAAAAGAUGAAGAAAGUUCUUACGGAAAUAAAAGGUGGGAAAGGAACUGAGCUGAAGAAGCGGGAACCAUUGUACUAACAGGAAAAUGGUACAGGCUGCUGGCAGAUGUGACUUCCAUGCACAGUCUAUGAUGCUCAGUGUUCUGUAGCUCUUUUGGAAUGUGCUGGGUCAAAUGGAAGAAGCUCCGUAUCCCAGUGCAAAAGCAUGACACCCGUGGAAAAAGUGAAAUAUGUUCCUGUAUAUCAGUGAGCAGUUUGUCUCUGGUAGAAUUGUUCUCCAUCCAGUUCAAUUGAAAACAGACCCACAUGCACGUCCACAUACCGCCUGAGCAGGAAUCUUAGUGGAAUGCUUGAAUAGUAAUUGGGAA